CUGGGGAUUAGGGUUUAGAGGCGCCGUCCCCUCCCCGUCUGCCCCUUAUCGCCGCCAGUCCCAGACCACCGAUCACUCUCCUUGCCCCUCCUCUCCUUCGCGGGCGCCACCCAGACGCGCUCGCGUCCGGAUCAACCAUGGCGGCAGCUGCUGGAGAAUCCCCGCGGGCAAUGUCGCAGCGCGAGCAGGACAUACAGAUGAUGCUCGCCGCCGACGUCCACCUCGGCACCAAGAACUGCGACUUCCAGAUGGAGCGCUACGUCUUCAAGCGCCGCUCGGAUGGUAUCUACAUCAUCAACCUUGGCAAGACAUGGGAGAAGCUCCAGCUCGCGGCAAGGGUCAUCGUCGCCAUCGAGAACCCCCAGGACAUCAUCGUCCAGUCUGCCCGCCCCUACGGCCAACGCGCCGUCCUCAAGUUCGCGCAGCACACCGGCGCGAAUGCAAUCGCUGGAAGGCAUACCCCUGGUACCUUCACCAACCAGAUGCAGACCUCCUUCAGCGAGCCCCGCCUGCUUAUCCUCACCGACCCAAGAACCGAUCACCAGCCAAUCAAGGAGUCUGCUCUGGGAAACAUCCCAACCAUUGCCUUCUGUGACACUGACUCUCCCAUGCGAUAUGUUGACAUCGGCAUCCCAGCAAACAACAAGGGGAGGAACAGCAUUGGGUGCCUGUUCUGGCUCUUGGCCAGGAUGGUUUUGCAGAUGAGGGGCACUAUCCUACCUGGGCACAAGUGGGAUGUCAUGGUUGAUCUAUUUUUCUACAGGGACCCUGAGGAAGCAAAGGAGCAGGAGGAGGAAGCUGCUGCGGCCCCAGAGUAUACUGCAAUCACUGAUUACCCAGCAGCUGGUCAAUGGGGAGGUGAUUGGCCCGCUGAUGCUGCUGCACCCCUGGCUGCUGGUGGUGCUGAGUGGCCCCUUGCUCAAGCUCCUCAGGCUGUUGCUGAUGGGUGGGAUCAAGCAGGAGCACCUGCUGUGGCUGUGGAAGGUGUCGCUCCCCCCCUGGUGCCCGCUACUGGCUGGGACCCAGCAGCACAACCUGCUGCUCAAGGCUGGGACUAGACUAAGUUUUACUUUGAGAUGUCUUGGCAGCUUAAAGCUCAUGUUUUGUGAGAUCCACCGCACAGGCGCCGAUGGACAGGAAGGACUCGUGGAGCGCCGAGGAGGACGCCAAGCUGACAACCAUGGUCCAGAAGUACGGGGCGGAGCGCUGGAGCCCGGCCGUGGACCGCCGCCCCUUCACCGCCGAGGAGCACACCCUCAUCGCCAACGCGCAGUCACUCCGCGACAACAUGUGGGUCGACAUCGCUUGCGGCCUCAACAGCGGCCGCACCGACAACUCCGUCAAGAACCACUGGAACUCCAACCACCGCAAAUCCCAGCACGAAGCCUGAGCUGCCACCGCAGCGCAGUUCGCCCAUACUAAUGCCGCUGGUUCUGCCUCGGCUACUGAUGCUGCUGCCACGCCACAGAAUAAUUCGCAGGUUUGGGGAAAAGGAAAAGCGGUGGUGAUUGACUUGGAAGAUGACCAGGUGGAAGCCGACGUCAAGGUCCACAACGAGCUGCCGCCGGCCAAGCGGCAACGCGUGAGUAACGGAGGAGGCUCUGCUGCCAGUGGUGGUGGGGACGAUGAUGCGUGGCUCACGCUUAGCCUGGGCUUGCCCCAGCAGCCCGUGCCCAAGCAAGAACCAAUGGUGCCAGUGGCAACAGAGGCGCCGAUCAUGGCGGCGAUGCGGGAGAUGGUGAGGGAGGAGGUGGAUUUGCAGGUAGCGCAGCUCGCGUCCUCGGUCUUCAUGGGCGCCUUUGCUGGCGCCGCCCGUCGCCUCUAGAAUCUAGUUAAUAAUCUCCUAUCGUUUGUUUCUGUCUGUGUGAUUUUCAGAUGGAAAGAACUCCCGUUGAAUAAUGUGAGUCACAUUGUGACCUGAAUAAAUUGAUUUGUGUGGGAACUUCCAUUUGUGUGUUA